UCAAACUUAAAAAUGAUAAUGUCCUCAUUGUAAGAAAAAUGAAAAAAAUACUCCCCUAAGAAGCAUUGUUAUCUCCGUCCGUCUCCUCAUGAUCCGAUGUUGUAUCAGGCGGUGGAUAAGUUGUGAGAGCCCCGAAUCCGGGUCCCGAAUCACCGCGGAUCCGGUACAAUCAUUCUAUCACUAUUGCGGAAGAUAUAAACAUAAAUUGUUUAUACAAUAAACUUUACACACUAUUCCCCAAGGUCGAGUAACCUUAACUUAUACACGAUUCAUAAACUAUCUAACAUAUAACAUUAUUAUCAUAUUAUACUAUUAUAAUUUAGUUGCACAUAUUAUCCCAAGCUGAACUUGGCAUAUCCUUUCCUGUAUCCGAACGUAUUCGCCUUAUCUGCAAUGUUUAUCAUGAUAUAGCAAGGGUGAGCAAUAAGUUUUCCCAGUAAGUUUAAGUUCAAUAAAUUAAGGAUAUAUCAUGAUUGAAAGAAUUGAACAAAAGCUGGCUACAGUUCUACAACAUAAUUGUGAACUAGCAUGAACAAAUUUUACAUAGCUGAACGAACAUUGAACAUGAACAUAUAUAUCUGGACUGAAUGGUAACAAAGGUGAUCAGCCUUUCAUACCUGAUGAAUACAUGCAGUAUGCACAGAGUGCGAUUUAAUAAUUCUUAGACAUGGCAAUUAGCAAUGAUUAACCACAAGUAUAUUUGAAUAAACAACUCAAAGUUGAGUUAAGGAAAAACUUGCAUGUUUCGUUGAUUAUCGUUACGCAAUUUAAUAAGCUUUGUCUGAAGACCUAAUAUAUAAAUAAUAUUGAUAUACAAAUUAAAAUAAUAUCAUCACAGUAUUUAAAUAACCUAAACACAUUAACACAUAACCCUAUUAGUCUAUACAGCACAUAAAACCUAACCUCAAGUCAAACUUUUACAGUCUGAGUCGAGUUCGAUACAACUCUGACAUCCCGAUUGCCUAAUCGAACAAAUAUCGAGUUUAAGUUCAAUUAAACUCAGCCUAAACACUUAACAAUUAUAUUAGAUAAUUAUAUUAUUAAUCAAAAUAAUUUUUCAAGUCUCAUAAUAAUUAUUAUUUAUCAUGAUUUUUCAAUCAUUACUAUCAUAGUUAUAUGAUUUAAAUACUUCAAUCUCAUAUAUUAUAAGUUUUUCUUGAAUAUAUAAGUCAAAUACCAAUCCAGCAACCCAGAUUUAGAAUCCAGCAGGCUGGAUUCCAAAUCUAGUAUCUAGAUGGCCAAUCCAACAAACUAAACUGCAAUCCAGCAAACUGGAUUUCAAAUCCAGCAACUAGAUUGCAAUCUAGCAAGCUGGAUUCAACAUAUUUUCAAUUCAGUAAACUGUUUUUCAAUCCAGCCAGCUGGAUUCAUCAGAUUUUUCAAUUCAGCAAAUUGGAUGCAUAAAUUAUUCAUUCCAGCAAUCUGGAUUCCAUAUCCUUUUCACAAAAAUACCAAAUCAAUUUAUUAUUUUUCUAUCCUUUUCCCAAACACAUAUACAUAUAAUUCAUACACAAAAAGUAUUUUUCCAUAAUUUUCCAACUUCCUUUAGUAUUUUUCAAAAAUCAUUUUUAGUGCGUAGCUUAAGAAAUUAGUCCUAUCAUGCUCAACUCCAAAAAUUCCCAUAUCUUGACACAAUCUUUUACGUGUUAACAUGAGCCUCCAGUUUAAAUUUCGUGGCCAUCGGAGUUAUAGAACUUCAGUUAUAGCGAUUUUUGUCCGAAAAAUCCAAAUAUUUAAAUAGUCAUAACUUGGUCAUUUUAAGUCGGAAUAAGCUCAUUUUUGGACAUGAGGUACUUAAUACCAUAUAUUUUCAUGUCCCAAAAGGCCGGAGUUUAUUUUAAAAAUUAAGUGGCCGAAAUAGCCCUUUCAAAAUCUUGGCAGUUUACUUUUGUUAGUUUUCUAUUUUUGACUCCUUUGCUAAAAUCAGUCCACACAAAAAUAUACAACACAUUUUCCAGUGAUUCCACUUGGAGACGUUAGAAAACUCAUAGAUUUAACUCUUGGACUUGACCUCACUCAAAAAUUUGAAAUAUAUUAGGAGAUAUGGUCGUUUGAAUUUCAUGUUUCAUUUUCACAAAAAUCUAAUUUUUAACUCUUAGUGAUUUCUAAGAAAACUUUCUUGUUUUCCCAUAAUAACCAACAUAACUCAUCAUAACACUUACUAAUACUUCAUAUACCCAUGAAUCUACCAUAAUACAUGAUCUAUUUCAUCAAACAAGCAUCAAACACAAGAUUAAACACAAUCAAGGCUAAGAAAAUUUAGGUUUUCUAUCUUUUGAAAAACCUAGUUUCUAUUUCACACUUUAGAUCUAACUUUUGAUCCUCAAAAUGGAUAGAUCCACACAUAACACACUCUAGAUCAUGUAGAUCUAGAGUUUUGAAGUUCAAGAACAUAAAUCCAUGUUUUGAUUAAAAUAACUAAGAAUAACUUAGAUAAAAUGUAGUUUAUACCUUGAUAUUUUGCUAGCCUUUCUUAAUCUUUCAAAGUAGAUGAUGAUCUUGGAUAACUUGAAGAUUAAAACAUCCUCUCCUUUACCCCUUGUGGCUGCCGAAAUUGCUCAUCUCCCUCUCUCUUGGUUUUGUUUUGUUAGCUAAAAGAAAGUAAU
rnacentral:lncRNA from 1 species